UCCCAGGUGGCUCAGUGGUAAGGUAUCUGCCCAUGGUGCAGGAGACCCAGGUUUGAUCCCUGGGUUGGGAA